rnacentral:rRNA from 1 species
AGUGAACGCUGGCGGUAGGCCUAACACAUGCAAGUCGAACGGCAGCACAGUAAGAGCUUGCUCUUACGGGUGGCGAGUGGCGGACGGGUGAGGAAUACAUCGGAAUCUACUUUUUCGUGGGGGAUAACGUAGGGAAACUUACGCUAAUACCGCAUACGACCUACGGGUGAAAGCAGGGGAUCUUCGGACCUUGCGCGAUUGAAUGAGCCGAUGUCGGAUUAGCUAGUUGGCGGGGUAAAGGCCCACCAAGGCGACGAUCCGUAGCUGGUCUGAGAGGAUGAUCAGCCACACUGGAACUGAGACACGGUCCAGACUCCUACGCGAGGCAGCAGUGGGGAAUAUUGGCCAAUGGGCGCAAGCCUGAUCCAGCCAUACCGCGUGGGUGAAGAAGGCCUUCGGGUUGUAAAGCCCUUUUGUUGGGAAAGACAAGCAGCAGGUUAAUACCCCGCUGUUCUGACGGUACCCAAAGAAUAAGCACCGGCUAACUUCGUG